AUCACUUGUCAGCCUUUUGGCUAGAAUCAAGUGUAGUAGCUGUUCUUAUCAAUUUAAAAAUAGGCUCUAUUUUUAGAGCAAUUUGAGAUUUACUGAAAACGUGGAAGAUGUAAAGUUAUGUGCCACCCCCAUCCUGCUUACAAGAUUUCCCCUGUUGUUAACAUCUUCCAUUGCAGAGCACAUGUGUUAUAAGGGAUGAACA
ensembl:snRNA U2 U2 spliceosomal RNA